CUGAGAGCCGCUUCUGUCAUUAACGAAGGGGGUGGGGUGUCACUUUCUGGAACAAAACUUUGGACCAGUCAAAAAGAUAAUAAUAUUGAUACUUAUUACAGCAAACACUUAUAUAGUUAAGUGCUUUACAAACUUUAUUUAAAGCAACAGUGUGAGAUAUAGGUACUAUGAUUAUGCCUCCUUACAGGUGAGGAAACCAAGGCAGAAAAAAGCUGAGUAGCACACUGAAGGGAUUGGAGGAUAAUGACUGCAGAGCUUGACCACUUCUCUCCAUAGAAGGAAACUGCCUCUGGUGCCGGUGCCAUUGGGCUAUAACAGAAUAGCUUCUGCCAUUCUCAAGGCCCCAUAAUGGAAUUAAACCACAGUGGUGAUGCUUCUAACAUGUGGAUUUGGAGUGAGUGACAACCUGGUCCAGUGUAAGAUUCAAUAUUCUUCUGGCAUUUUACAUCCAUACAAGGAGAGAAAAUUAAAUCUAUUAACCCUUCCAAUCAUUUGGAUCAUGAAUAGCAUAGACAACAUCAAUCAGGAAAUCAGCAAGGUGACCCCGUCACACCUACAUGUAUGCA
rnacentral:lncRNA from 1 species